CUGCCAUUGGUGCAGGGUUUUGAGCUGGUUCACCUGAAAUUGAGGCCUCUGGGGAGUGAUCCCUACCUUGUUAAUAGUAUAUCCUAGGUAGUUAUAAGGAUACUGAAUCUGCACCUUCUCUGGGGCUAUAAUCAGUCCGGCCCCCUUUAACAGGGACUGGAGGACUUCAUAAGACUGGAAAAGUGCUUUCCUAUCAGGGCCUGCCAACAAUAUAUCAUCCAUGUAAUGGACGAGGUAAAAGUUUGGGAAUUGUUGCCUAAAGGGUUGCAGAAUUUUUGCUAUAAAGUACUGACACAUAGUAGGGCUAUUGGCCAUUCCUUGAGGUAAGACAGUCCAUUCAAACCGCUGAUAGGGUUCCCUAAAAUUUAUUGAAGGUAAAGAGAAAGCAAAACGUUUACAAUCCUGGGGGGCCAGGGGAAUAGAAAAGAAGCAAUCUUUUAGGUCCAAAAUAAUAAGAUGCCAAUCUUUAAGGAUAGCCGUGGGGAAGGGUAGUCCUGGCUGUAAAGUUCCCAUGGGCUGCAUGGUAUUAUUAAUAGCCCGCAGGUCUUGGAGAAGCCUCCAUUUUCCAGACCCCUUUCUUAUGACAAAAAUAGGAGUGUUCCAGGGGGAAGUGGAAGGCACUAUAUGCCCCACCCUAAGCUGUUCCUGAACCAGAAGGGUCGUGGCCUGCAAUUUGUCCUUAGUUAGGGGCCACUGUUCUAUCCACACAGGGUCAUAUGAUAACCAAGUAAUAGAUAGAGGACGUGGCCGCAUUUCAGUGGCCCCUAGGAUAAAUUUCCUAGCCCCCUCCGAUCUCCUCCACUUCUGGUAAUUUCUUCUGUAGGGUCCACAGGCGUUGCCCUUCCCUCAUGUCUUUUCCCCAGUCCUUUUCCGGGAAGCCAUCCCAUAUCUAACAUCAUGUCAUUAACAAAUUUAUUACUCCCUUUUAGGGUCUGAGUGGUGAGGAUAGCUCCCAUUUGUUGAAGUAGGUCCCUUCCCCAAAGGUUUGUGGGGAGUCCAGCCACUACGUAAGGCUGAAAAUAACCACUGUGUCCUUCCUCAUCUCUCCAUUUUAGAAAGGAGGCACUUUUUUUCUGGUCUCGUCUGCCCAAUCCCCUGUAAUACAGCUGAGGGAUCUUGGAGAGGCCAAGCAGAUGGCCAUUGUUUCUUAGAGAUAACAGAGACAUCAGCUCCUGAAUCUAAUAUCCCCUUGAAGAUUUUAUCCUGUAUUUUAAUGGUUAACUGUGGUCGGGAGUCCAAGUGUGCUACCCAAAAGGUUUGAGGGGAGCCGGUGGAACCAAAACUGCCAUUACCCCGGGCUGCCUGUAGGGCGGCUGUAGACGCCGCCGACAGCAGCAAUAAUUGUGCUAUGCGUUCUCCGGGAGGAAUAAUAACGAUCCCUUGGGUAGCCUCGGCAACAAUUUUUAACUCCCCGUGGUAAUCACCAUCAACCACACCUGUAAGAAUUCUGAGCCCUUUAUGCAGAGUGCUGCCUCUUCCCAGUAUCAGUCCCACAAUUCCCUCCGGCAAAGGGCCAAAGACUCCAGUUGGCAGGGUCUGGGGACCCAUCUGCGGAGUCAGUACUGCUCGGGAGGUGGAACUGAGGUCCAAUCCUGCACUUCCCGGUGUUCCCCUGGGGAGUUCCCGGAUAGAAAGGGGUUGGUCAGGGGGCACUGUUUCGUCCCUGCACUGCCCCGUACACUUUGGCUUCCGGGGCCCGGGGCUGGCCCCUGCUCCCGUUUCCCGACGGUAUCGGGUUACCCUGGAUGUCAAAUUUUGACCUGCACUCACUACUCCAAUGAUUUCCUUUAUGACAUCGAGGACAAAUUCCAAGCAUCCCUCUGCCAGCACCCUCGCUCCUUUCCGGGCAGUUUCUCCUUAUAUGUCCCUCUUUCCCACACUUAAAACACCCCUUAGAGUGGGUUCCCGUUAUCAGAUGUUUGCAUUCCAGUCUUAAGGGUAGCAGCCAAAACCUGACCAGUAAUAUGAGGCCCAUCUAUAUCUUUGCAUGCUCGAAUCAUGUCAUCUAUACUUUUGGCCCGGGAGGACUUAAUAGCAUUUUGGCAGUAAGUGUUAGCGUUUUCAUAUGCCAGUUGUCUAAUAAGUGGCAUAGCCUGUUCCAGAUUAGGGAAUAUUUUUCCAGCCGCCUGCAUUAGGCGGGCUAUAAAGUCCGAAUAAGGUUCAGAGGGCCCUUAAGAGAUCUUGGAAAUUUUUGCUUCAGUCUUAGAAACGGGCAAGGCUUUCCAGGCAUGGACCGCAGCUGAGGCUAUCUGAGCAUAGACCCCCAGGAUCAUAAUUAAUUUCCUGAUUUAUGACAGCAUAUUGUCCUGAGCCUGUUAACAUUUCGAGGUUACGCCGUGGGAAGCCGGCGUCCUGAUUGACUCGGGCUAGCUCGUGACACCUCUCUUGAUUUUCACUUUUCCACAACAAAAAAUCCCCUCCGGACAACACAGCCCUGGGAAGCUGUUGCCAAACUAAAUCCCAAUCAUUGUUAUUGAGAAAGCCUCCUGUCAGAAACCAAGGACAAGCCUGGGCGAUAACUUCAAUGAAUUCGGUUGCAGUCUUAGUUUUUAUUCCUGUUCCUUGUGUAUUUAACAGCUCUUUUAGUUCGUUGGCCAGACGAACCUUCGCUGUUGAGUUACCCAUGGUACGUACCCUGUCUCUUUAAAUUACCUUUAAACCAAUCCUCCCCCUUCUACCUUUAGAAAGUGAGCCCCGUACGCUUACCCCUACUUUCCGGAUCUCGGUGGGAGCCUCCAGAUGCCGCGUCCGGCUAACGGAGCCGAGCCCGGGGUUAAAAAAUACACAGGACACCAAGGUUCUUCAUCCAGGAGGGAGCGUGUGCGCGCUUUAUUGCCAAAUUUGUUCCCCUUAUAUAUCUUUUUAACAGCUGCGGGAAAUUACUCAAAAGUGAGGAGGGGAGAGUAGUAACUGCGUCCUUGGGUUACCGUCACGUCACCGUCCCCUAUCAGGAGGCUCGAACAGGUCAAGAUGUUCCCGAGAGACACAUAUGUGCGAGGCAGAUAAACAGGGAACCGCAAGCCCGCGUCAUGGCCUUGUGAGCUGGCCACAUUGACAUGCAUAACAAAGAACUGGGGGUUGAGUCCCCAGGGGCCAGGGCGGGCCUGCUAUCAGCANUUGAAUUUUGAUCUUAUCUUGGGCUAGUGGUGAAACAGUAUGACCCUCUCAGGAUGUGGUAGUAGCGAGACCUACUCCCAGUUAGCCACAUGGCCAUUAGGGGGAAACAACUUAUGUCCUACAGUAUGCUGUGCUGUGAGGUUGGGAUGUGUGGUAGAUUAACC
rnacentral:lncRNA from 1 species